CCUACGGGAGGCAGCAGUGGGGAAUUUUCCGCAAUGGGCGAAAGCCUGACGGAGCAAUACCGCGUGAGGGAGGAAGGCUCUUGGGUUGUAAACCUCAAAACUUAGGGAAGAAAAAAAUGACGGUACCUAAUAUAAGCAUCGGCUAACUCCGUGCCAGCAGCCGCGGUAAUACGGAGGAUGCAAGCGUUAUCCGGAAUCAUUGGGCGUAAAGAGUCCGUAGGCGGCUAAUCAAGUCUGCUGUCAAAAACCGAAGCUCAACUUCGGGAAGGCGGUAGAAACUGAAGAGCUAGAGUACAGAAGGGGUAGAGGGAAUUCCCAGUGUAGCGGUGAAAUGCGUAGAGAUUGGGAAGAACACCAGUGGCGAAGGCGCUCUACUGGACUUGUACUGACGCUGAGGGACGAAAGCUAGGGUAGCGAAAGGGAUUAGAUACCCCUGUAGUCUUAGCAGUAAACGAUGGAUACUAGGCGUAGCUUGUAUCGACCCGAGCUGUGCCGAAGCAAGCGCGUUAAGUAUCCCGCCUGGGGAGUACGCACGCAAGUGUGAAACUCAAAUGA
rnacentral:rRNA from 1 species